GUUAGCGGCGGACGGGUGAGUAACACGUGGAUAACCUACCUAUAAGACUGGGAUAACUUCGGGAAACCGGAGCUAAUACCGGAUAAUAUUUUGAACCGCAUGGUUCAAAAGUGAAAGACGGUCUUGCUGUCACUUAUAGAUGGAUCCGCGCUGCAUUAGCUAGUUGGUAAGGUAACGGCUUACCAAGGCAACGAUGCAUAGCCGACCUGAGAGGGUGAUCGGCCACACUGGAACUGAGACACGGUCCAGACUCCUACGGGAGGCAGCAGUAGGGAAUCUUCCGCAAUGGGCGAAAGCCUGACGGAGCAACGCCGCGUGAGUGAUGAAGGUCUUCGGAUCGUAAAACUCUGUUAUUAGGGAAGAACAUAUGUGUAAGUAACUGUGCACAUCUUGACGGUACCUAAUCAGAAAGCCACGGCUAACUACGUGCCAGCAGCCGCGGUAAUACGUAGGUGGCAAGCGUUAUCCGGAAUUAUUGGGCGUAAAGCGCGCGUAGGCGGUUUUUUAAGUCUGAUGUGAAAGCCCACGGCUCAACCGUGGAGGGUCAUUGGAAACUGGAAAACUUGAGUGCAGAAGAGGAAAGUGGAAUUCCAUGUGUAGCGGUGAAAUGCGCAGAGAUAUGGAGGAACACCAGUGGCGAAGGCGACUUUCUGGUCUGUAACUGACGCUGAUGUGCGAAAGCGUGGGGAUCAAACAGGAUUAGAUACCCUGGUAGUCCACGCCGUAAACGAUGAGUGCUAAGUGUUAGGGGGUUUCCGCCCCUUAGUGCUGCAGCUAACGCAUUAAGCACUCCGCCUGGGGAGUACGACCGCAAGGUUGAAACUCAAAGGAAUUGACGGGGACCCGCACAAGCGGUGGAGCAUGUGGUUUAAUUCGAAGCAACGCGAAGAACCUUACCAAAUCUUGACAUCCUUUGACAACUCUAGAGAUAGAGCCUUCCCCUUCGGGGGG
rnacentral:rRNA from 1 species